UACGAAGGGGGCUAGCGUUGCUCGGAAUUACUGGGCGUAAAGCGCGCGCAGGCGGUCUUCCAAGUCAGUGGUGAAAGCCCGGAGCUCAACUCCGGAACUGCCAUUGAAACUGUUGGACUUGAGUACGAGAGAGGUGAGUGGAAUUCCCAGUGUAGAGGUGAAAUUCGUAGAUAUUGGGAAGAACACCGGUGGCGAAGGCGGCUCACUGGCUCGGUAACUGACGCUCAGGCGCGACAGCGGUGGGGAUCGAAACAGGAUUACGA
rnacentral:rRNA from 1 species